rnacentral:tRNA from 1 species
GCCGGGGUGGCCGAGCGGUCUAAGGCGGUGGGCUCGAGACCAUAAGGAUGAGUCGUUUCCGGCCUUCAGCAGGAGACCCACUGCUCCUUGCGGGGCGCGCGGGUUCAAAUCCCGCCCCCGGCG